UCCCCUCCCCCUCUUCCUCCUCCUGGUAGCUCUUUUUUUUUCCUCCGAAACCCACUCUAAUUGAGGCGCUGGGAUUCCUCACGUGAGACGUUGAUUUGUAGUUUGAACACGUGGCUCAUUCAAAAAGCCGGACACUCGGAGCGGAUUUUUUCCGCCUCCUGCGUCUUCCUCCCUCCACCCCUUUCUCCCCUCCUCUCCUGCCAGUCACCCUUCAGGGUUUUUUAUGGGGAGGCGGCGCCUGCCCUAACGUAGUGUGAUAUUUUCACUGUCCGCUGGCCGAUGCCAGAGGGGCUGGGGAGGAAGAGACAAAAAGUAUUUUCCCCCUCCCCUCUUCGUCUCCUUUUCCUCGCUAAUCCCGCCUCCUCCUCCGAGUUAGGAAGACUCGUUGAUGCGUUUGGGUUGUAGCAAGGCUUUUUCCUUCUUUUUUUUUUUUUUUUUUUUUUUAAUACCUAGGAAAGGAAAAACAGGAACCCUCGGAUCUGAUUUUUCGCUCCUCGUUCUUGUUCUUGGUUCUUACUGUGUUCGUGUAUUUUAACGGCGAGAAGAGGAGGGGAACAAAACCCCCAGGAUCCAUCCGUCUCUGUGGGUGGUUUUAAUUUUUCGUUUCUCUCUUAAUUUUUUUUAAACAACCACUCUUUCACAAUGAACAAACUGUAUAUUGGAAACCUCAGCGAGAACGCCGUCCCCUCGGACCUGGAAAGUAUCUUCAAGGACGCCAAGAUCCCAGUGUCGGGACCGUUCCUGGUGAAGACUGGCUACGCGUUCGUGGACUGUCCGGACGAGAGCUGGGCCCUCAAGGCCAUCGAGGCGUUUUCAGGUAAAGUGGAACUGCACGGGAAACUAAUAGAAGUUGAGCACUCGGUCCCCAAAAGGCAGAGGAUUCGGAAACUUCAGAUACGAAAUAUCCCGCCUCACUUACAGUGGGAGGUGCUGGAUGGUUUACUAGUCCAGUAUGGAGUGGUGGAAAGCUGUGAGCAAGUGAACACGGACUUGGAAACCGCAGUCGUAAAUGUAACCUAUUCCAGUAAGGAGCAAGCUAGACAAGCUUUAGACAAACUGAAUGGAUACCAGCUGGAGAGCUUCACGUUGAAAGUGGCCUACAUCCCUGACGAGAUGGCCGCCCAGCACAACCCCUCGCAGCAGCCCCGGGGGCGCCGUGGGUUUGCGCAGAGGGGCUCAUCGAGGCAGGGGUCUCCAGGAUCAGGGGCCAAGCAGAAACCAUGUGACUUGCCUCUACGCCUACUGGUUCCCACCCAAUUUGUUGGAGCCAUUAUAGGAAAAGAAGGUGCCACCAUUCGGAACAUUACCAAACAGACUCAGUCUAAAAUUGAUGUCCAUCGUAAGGAGAAUGCAGGUGCUGCUGAGAAGUCAAUAACUAUUCUCUCCACCCCCGAGGGCACCUCUGCGGCUUGUAAAUCAAUUUUGGAGAUUAUGCAUAAAGAAGCUCAAGAUAUAAAAUUCACAGAAGAGAUUCCCUUGAAGAUUUUAGCCCAUAAUAACUUUGUAGGACGUCUUAUUGGUAAGGAAGGAAGAAACCUUAAAAAAAUUGAGCAAGACACAGAUACUAAAAUCACAAUAUCUCCAUUGCAGGAACUGACACUGUACAAUCCAGAGCGCACCAUUACAGUCAAAGGCAAUGUGGAAACAUGUGCCAAAGCGGAGGAAGAGAUCAUGAAGAAAAUCAGGGAGUCUUAUGAAAAUGAUAUUGCUUCUAUGAAUCUUCAAGCACAUUUAAUUCCUGGAUUAAAUCUGAAUGCCUUGGGUCUGUUCCCACCCACUUCAGGGAUGCCACCUCCCACCUCAGGGCCCCCUUCAGCUAUGACUCCUCCUUACCCACAGUUUGAGCAAUCAGAGACGGAGACGGUUCACCUGUUUAUCCCAGCCCUCUCUGUGGGUGCCAUCAUCGGCAAGCAGGGGCAGCAUAUCAAACAGCUUUCCCGCUUUGCAGGCGCUUCUAUUAAGAUUGCCCCAGCUGAAGCGCCAGAUGCCAAAGUGAGGAUGGUGAUUAUCACCGGGCCACCAGAGGCUCAGUUCAAGGCUCAGGGAAGAAUUUAUGGAAAAAUUAAAGAAGAAAACUUUGUUAGUCCUAAAGAAGAGGUGAAACUUGAAGCUCACAUCAGAGUGCCAUCCUUUGCUGCUGGCAGAGUUAUUGGAAAAGGAGGCAAAACGGCAAGUACUUCAGGAAAACCUGUGCAGUGGUAUGAAAGGGAAAGCGUUGAAAGGUACUUAGGAGUUCCAAUCCCUGAAUUUUGGCUAACUUAUAGAAAGCAGGACUGUCUGGGCCAAGGUUUGGAGACGACUGCCUUUUGUUGGUAUCAGCUACUAGUAAAGCAGUGCCUCUCUCUCACACCACUCUGUGUGGAGAGGAUGGUCUCGUAUUUGUAUGGGGCAUUUUUCUGUUGACAUGCGUCAGUUUUUAAUUUUUAUCCUGUAAGCAUUUAAUGACGUGAAAACUUAAAAAAAAAUUGUCUGCCUUUAUAACUUUUAUCUAACUGAAAAAAGCAAAUGGUUUCCAGUUUCUCUUUAAUACACAGAACUUCUAAGGUUCAAAGCUAUCUACAAUUUUGAAGUGACUGAAAGUGUACAUUUUGUAAUUAGACUUUCAGGGUUUGAAUCUGGUUUUGUCAUAUGUAAUUUGGAGCAAGUCAGUUUUUUUGCUUUAGUUUUAAUUAUCUUGAAUGGGGACUAAUAACCUGAUAGAAUUAUUAGCAUAUUAGAUGAGACUUGUAAGCCAUAGCUCAGUAUUUUGGCACACAGUUAAGUGCUCAGGAAAUGGUUUUUAAAAAAACCCAAACAACUCAACUGAACAUGAUUUGUAUUUAUCUUUUUCAGGUGAAUGAGCUCCAGAAUCUGUCAAGUGCAGAAGUUGUUGUCCCUCGUGACCAGACACCUGAUGAGAAUGACCAAGUAGUCGUCAAAAUAACUGGUCACUUCUAUGCUUGCCAGGUUGCUCAGAGGAAAAUUCAGGAAAUUCUGACUCAGGUAAAGCAGCAUCAACAGCAGAAAGCUCUGCAAAGUGGACCACCUCAGUCAAGACGGAAGUGAAGGCUCAGGAAACAGCCCACCACAGAGGCAGAUGCCAAACCAAAGACAGAUUGCUUAACCAACAGAUGGGCGCUGAACCCCUAUCCAGAAUCACAUGCACAAGUUUUUACCUAGCCAGUUGUUUCUGAGGACCAGGCAACUUUCAAGCUCCUGUCUCUGUGAGAAUGUAUACUUUAUGCUCUCUGAAAUGUAUGACACCCAGCUUUAAAAAAAAAGGGGGGGGAGGGAAAAAGAGGAGCUAUGCACUUCCCUUUUGUUGUUUUCUCAAUAUAACAAAUAUCCUAAUUUUUCUUAAUUUUCAUCCCCCCCAUGAUGCCAGAAAUUGGCUUAAUGGUGCAUUAACUAAAUUCACCCAGAAAAUAAAUAAAAAUAGACUGCUCCUAAGUCCAGUUGUUAAAAUUGGAUCAGAAUAGAGUUAUUACACGAAUGUAAAUGUUAAGCUAUUAGCCUAGAAAAACUGUUCUCAGUUUUAUUUUUAUCUAAAAACACUAACACGAAUAACCUAAGGGAAGUGCUGAACGGUGUUGGCAGGGGUAUUAAACGUGCAUUUUUACUCAACUACCUCAGGUAUCAGUAAUGCAAAAUUGUUUUGUUUUUUUCUGAAAAGUUUAUAUACUUUAUAAAGAUAAGUCCAAUUGUUUUUUUAAAAAUAAAAUUUAAUUAGCUAACAGGCAAAUAAGAAAAAAAUUUACUUCUGGCUGGUGACAGUAAAGCUGGAAAUUUCAGGUUUUUUGAGGCUUUUGACAAAGUUACUAGUUGCAAAAUCCAGUACGUGUUCAGUGAUAUGGAGCAGUGCCUAUAUUUGGAGAGCAGCAAUACUGUUUAUUUCUUUGUUCAUGGUAGGAAAGUUUUUGAUGGUACUAACAGAGCAAAGUGGUUGCAGGAGGUUUGGGAAUGGCUAGUUUUAAAUGGCUUCAGGAGACUUCAGUUUUUUUGUUUGGCUACGUGACUGAAUGCAUAAAUGCUUUAUGCUUUUGACUAUCACUACCUAAAGAAGGUGUACCUAUGAAGAGAUGCAGCCCCUGUGGACUUGAAACUGAUUGGCAAGAAGAAAGCUUCGGCUUGCCUUACAGGAUGCUUGGUUUGCCAAUACACUUGAGACCAGGUGCUCUACGCUUGGAGGAGACCCCCAAAAGAAUUGCUUUGUGAAGACCAAUGGGGGCAGUCAAAUGGUGUGACAGUGUUACAAGGCAAUAAAAAGGCUACAUCUCCAUGUGCCACCAGGCACUGUCAUGAGCCUCACUAAGCUAUUUUGAAGAUUUUUAAGCAAUGAUAAGAAAGAUGAAAGGCCACCUAAAAUAUUACAUAAAAUGCAGCAGGAUUUCUGUAUUCUCUGCAAUCAGCUACUUGAAAAUAAGUCAAAAGGUAGAAAAAUACAAAAAGCAACUUUUAGACUAUAAUUUGAAUGACUGUGAUAAAAUAUUUGACCUUUGACACUGAACUCAUUUGUCCAUUCCUUAACUUGACGGCAAAGCCUGGUGUGUACAAUUAUGUGGAAUGGGUGGUCUCCAUGGCUGCUCUCAGAAUUGUUUGUGUUGCUUUUGUGCAGUAAAAGAUCACAGUCAUCAUACAGACAGCCCUUUAAAGGGCAUAUAUAUACCACCCUUUAAAAAAUCAUUUUGCUUCAUUUGUAUUUCAAGAUGAAUUUCUACACAGACAAGUUUUUCUAAAGAUCACGUAUCAAUUAGACAUUUUGAAAAUGACCUGAAAUGUUUUCCUAAAUGUUUUCAGAAAACCAGUUUAUUUUGUAGUUUUAGCCAAAAAGUGCCCUAUUUGUCAUUGAAUUCAUCUAGCACUCGUAAUUUUUUUUUUCCCAUACAAUGAAUGAACUGCUAAAUAAAUGUAAUUUGGACUGGCUUUCUGAUAUGGAUUUCAGGUGACGUAUGCUUAAGGCCAGAGCUCUUUCUCAGUAUUUGAUUUUUCCAUUUUUUAAAAAAUAGGUGCUACAUUUAUAUCUGCCUGUUUAAACUGUCAUAUUUCAUUUCUAGCCUUCUAGUGUGGCAAAAUCAUGUUUAACUUUCAAUUAAGCAUUGGUAAUGGAGUAUCUGGUAAUACUAGGAAAUAAUUCUGUAAUUGAGUUUUGUACUCAGCGCAUAUGGAUCAUUCCUCAUCUGUAAUAUGCCCCAGUUGCAGCUUCAUUUUCCAGAUACCUUGAUGCAGAAUAAAGUGUUUCAUCAUUAGGUGCAGGCUGGUGUGUAAUAUGUUUUAUUUUUGCCUUUUUGAAUAAAUGUGAAUGUCCAAACUA